CUUUGCUUUUUUUGUGAAUGAAAAAAGGAGGUCGUGAGCGGUCUCGGGGACUGCGGCGCUCGGCGUCUUAAGGCUGCGCGCGUGCGGCGGCCUCACCCGGCGCCUCGCUCUCUAGCGCGCCGCCCGCAACCUCCGCAGCGCAGCCGGGCGGCGGCGCGGCCCAGCGGCCGGAGGUCGGAGCGGCGGCGCGCAACCCGGCUCCGCGAGCCUCCAUGACAUUGGGCGCCCGGGUCGCGCGGAGAUGCUGAUCCGGAAGAGGCAGUGGCUGCAGUGCAGCGCCCCAGGCUGCUCACGUGCCGCGGUCCGACCAGGGCUCCUGUGCCAGAGUUUCUUCUGAUCGUACCUGAACCGGGACCCCAGGAGUCUGGGUCUCCAGCACAGAGCAGCAGCGUCGGCGGCGCCCCAACUUGCACGCGCAGAGUGACCCCAGACAUCUCACUAAAAUGAGCGUGCUUAGCAGGAAGAGAUGUGUUCCCUACACUAGAAAUUACCCCGUCACAUGUAGUGGUGUAAGUACACGAUUGAUUUCUAUUAUGGCCGGGUUGCAAGCAAACGUGCCACCUCGCCUUGGCUCAUCCUUCAGCACCCUCCCCUCUCCUCCCUGCGUCCCUCCUGCCUUCCCCUGAGCUCCACUCUUCCCUUGGGCACUUGCUGAGUCUGCACAGUUCAGAGGGAAGAGAAACUAACCUUUCUUGGGUGUUUUUAGGGGAGAACUACAUGUUUUGCAUCGGUGUGUCGUGCCCCUCCCCCUUCCCUAUUUAUUUCAUUAAAAAAAAAUUGUGUGUGCAGAGCGGCAUGUCAGGAGGGAAAUAAGAGGUUCAGAGUGGUAGAGGUGUACCUUUUUCCUUUUUCUUUUACUUUCCUUUCUUUUCUUUCUUUCUUU
rnacentral:lncRNA from 1 species